CGCACCGGCUCCACCUGGCUCACCUGAGGGACGGCUAGUGUCUGAGGGCGGGAGGCAAGCCCUGCGCGAGGAGCCCUGUCUGAGCGGUGCCUUGCUUGCCCCACCCUCAUCCCAGAGGCCCUGGAAGAUGAGGCACCACAUGGAGAGAGAGGCCACAUACAGGAGAAUGGAGGUGCCCCUGCUGAGCUGGCUGAACGGGGCAUGUGAGUGAUCCAGGUGGCAUGAUGUGAAGCAGAAUUACCUAGGCCACCCACAGAAUGACCUCAGUCUAGCCUGGGACUUCUUCCCACCAAAGCCGCCAGUGACACCGAGUACAGUGCCAUGUUCAUCCUAGAUCGUCAUUAUUGGGGCCUGGAAUUAGUCUGGCUGCUAUGGAAGUUGGCUCUUGGGGACCUGGGGGUGCCCUGGGAACCUGUGUGGCCUGGGACCUGACCGCCCUUCUCAGUGUCAGGUUGCGGAUCCUCAGCAGAUUUUUCUCCUGUGCCGACAGCUUCCUUGGAUCGGGAUAGACAGACAAGUCGUCACUGGCUGUUUCUACCGACCGGCUCCGAGUCUGUCCCAGCUGUUUCUCAAGCUCUCGAACCUGAGGGUGGUUCCACAACAGGCCUGCAGUCAGACUCGACCCUCAGGGGGGCCGCCCUGUGAUGUGACAGGAGACCCCACUAGACAGGCGACAACACGGUUCCAGGUGAGGAGACUGCGACACAGAGAGAUGAAGAGGUUUGCCCAAAGACACCAAACUUAUAGACCAGUGACUGAGGCCAGACUCAAACUCAGGUCUCUUGAACCACAAGGCCACACACUGGUCGUUAACCACAGUUUUUCAGAGACCUCUCCCCCUUCAUGUUGGCUUCAGGGAUCCCACAGGAGACCCUGAGGGUACAAGCCACCUGGGAACCUGGGGAUGAAGGCGAUGCACUUGGCAGAUAGUGGAAACGACACACCUAUUUGUGUGACUCUUGGUUUCUUGGUACAGCUAACCUUCGGAUGGUGUCUCCUGCAUGCCAGGCACUGUGGUAAGCAAUUUACACAUCUGUACUCAUUCAGUCCUCCCAACAACCCUGUGGGGUAGGCACUGUCAUUAUCCACAGUACACAGAGGAGGAAACUGAGGCACAGAGAGGCGAAGCAACUUGCCCAAGGCCACACAGUUGGUGGGUGGUGGGCUGGGAUUUGAAGCCAAGCAGUCUGGCUGUGGAGCCCCUGUUCCUAGCCUCUAGAGAUGCUCCAAAAUAUUUAGAGCGUAAAGAGGGAGACAGGCUAAGUUUUUUUUGCGGGGGUGGUAAUUAAAACCUUCAAAAGCCUACAGGCAUCUGGACGAAACUGGAAAAAGCCUACAAGUACAACAGUCACGCAAAUUUACAUGAACUAGGGAAAAAAAAUCUGCCUGGAGUAAAAUAAAUCAAAGGCUCUGGCAUUUGUUGAGCGCCAGUGCCUGGUAUGUAGUGUUAUAUAAAUGCUCGUUCACUUAAUAACAAAUGAAAACCAGGCUGGUUGGGGAGAAUGUAAAACAACAGCCCUGCAAGUGCGCUCUGCAGAACCUAAAGGCCUUUUUUGGGUUCUGUGUCUCUAAUGUGGGUCAGCGCGGGUCUUUCUGGGGCAUUUCAAGCCUUACGUUCAGGGCCAGGAGAAGUCUGAUGACUCGCUCACCUUGCUCUGCAAGACGAGAAUUUGUUGAGCCCGACCCCUCCACGUCCCAGGCGAGGACAGGAGCUGCUGGAUGUUCACAUCUUCCCCAACCUCACUGGUUAACACCUGAAAAAGGUGAGGCCUUCAGUAUGGCUGGGAGAGAGGGCUCUGCCAGAGCCCUAAAGCUGCUGCACGUGCACAAACAGUGCUGAGUGCAUGGGGCUCCCUGAAGGCCCGGCCUCCACCUGCACAACCUUCCCCCUUCCCCCGCUCCCCGCCUCAAAGGCCAAUUGACCACGCUCCAAGAGCAGCUCUCCCUGGGAAAGCAGUGAACCCAUCAUCCCCAGCACUUCUUGGUGAUGCUUAGAGCAGACAAGGAACUGCUGACAAUGCCCAGGUGGGGCCCCUUGCCCUUGACACAUUCUGGGAUGAGUGAACCACAGAGUUGACCAAGACCUACUCCAAAUUUGUUCACCUGUCACCCAGAACUGAGAUCAUUCUGGAUGGCUCCAGGGAGGACAUGGCCACAGGGCUUCGCCCUCCGUGCAAAGCCACUGACAAGGGGCCAUGUCUGAGUGCAGCAAAGGUGGGGGGGCUACCGAAUGUCACUUGGGGAUGUUUGGGUCCAGAAGGGUCCAGCUUUGGGGCUGUUGCAGAGAGGUGUUCAGGCCCAACUUCGAGGCUUUGAGGUGGAAACAGUACACCCCAGCUUGUGCCCUGGGCCGCUCUGCAGCCUGUCACGGAAACCCAUCUAGCGUACCAAGUCUCUGGUGCUUGUUUCCACAAUAGAACUCUGUUUUGGAAAUCUUGGCUGGCCUGAGUGGUUCCAGCAGGAACCGCUGCUGGUGGUACAAAUGCCAGAGAAUUCACUAUGUAAAUAAAAAUAAAUAAUGAACCAGCUG